rnacentral:lncRNA from 1 species
UGGGGGUCCCUCAUAAGAAGCCAAACAGAGGGGAUCAUCAAAUCUUGGACUUUCAGUCACCAAAACUGUCCUGCCUGAACUCCAUGGACUUCUAGCAGGAGGAGUACAAUCAUCCCUAGACACAGCGCCAAUUGCUUACUCAACACCAUCUUGCCUUUCAUUUCCAGCCAUCAGUUUUGUGAAUGAGAUAUUACAUUGAUUUUAGCAAAACCUGGAAGUCACGAACAAUUUUGAAUUCUGUUUGGCUCACAAGUGCCUUAGAUUUUUCACUUGAAGUUCCUUUUCUGAAUCCUCAUCCUGGGAGAAGAAUCACUCAUGUCAGGAGCUGUUGCCACUUAUAUGGAAACUCUUGGUUGGGAACACCAGUCAGCAGUAGAAGAUGGAGAUCAGAGUUGGAGUCACUCACGGUUAGAAUCCUCCCUUGGGCUAUAGAAGAGAGCCAGUGGCAAUUCUGGUUUCAAGUUAGAAAGAUUGUUCUCUUUCCAAUGCUGAACCAAAUUGGCUGAGAAGCAACGAUGUGUUCAAAAGAAACCACAGUGGCUCGUCUCACAUGGAGAUUUUCUGAGGUGUGAACACUGAAGACCUUGGGUCCUUGGAGUGCUUUUGUUGCUAAAGAAACUGAAACCGUUUCAAGUGUAGUUUUAUUGAAAAGAGGAACAAUGUUGGGGAGUCAUCGUUAUGCCUGUCUAGAUGAAAUGUGCACAGCUUUCAAGUUAAAACUAUAUAUUUGAAAAUCUAAAAGCUGUCUACAUGGGCCUUUGUAUUAGAAACUCUAUAAUACAUGGAUCAGUGGGAUUCUUUGGAACCUGGGUCGAUUGUGACUAUAUGAAAUAGGCCAGUCCAACUGGGAAUAAAGAGUAAACUACUCAUGCA